rnacentral:rRNA from 1 species
AGUCAAUAGAUACCCCGGUAGUCCAUGCCGUAAACGAUGAUUGCUAGGUGUGGGGGGUCUGACCCCUUCCGUGCCGGAGUUAAACACAAAUAAGCAAUCCACCUGGGGAGUACGGCCGCAAGGUUGAAACUCAAAGGAAUUGACGGGGGCCCGCACAAGCAGUGGAGUAUGUGGUUUAAUUCGAAGCAACGCGAAGAACCUUACCAGGUCUUGACAUCCACCGAAUCCUGUAGAGAUACGGGAGUGCCCUUCGGGGAACGGUGAGACAGGUGGUGCAUGGUUGUCGUCAGCUCGUGUCGUGAGAUGUUGGGUUAAGUCCCGCAACGAGCGCAACCCUUGUGAAUAGUUGCUACGAAAGAGCACUCUAUUCAGACCGCCGUUGACAAAACGGAGGAAGGUGGGGAUGACGUCAAAUCAUCAUGCCCCUUA